UUAAUUUUCUACGACUUAAGACUCUACGGCUGCUACGACUUCUAUUGUAUACCCCGCUUUAGUGAAGUGUUGUGUGAGGAACCUCAAGAGACUAGUUUCGUGAAAAAGUGCUGUGUAAACUCCAAAAAAUUGAAAAAAUGUAUGGUGUGCAGUACCAGCGUGCACAAAAGAAUUUAAUUUAAAAGAGCGCUAUUUUUUUCGAUUUCCAAAAGAACAUGAAAGAUGGUUGCAAUGGGUACGAGCAUGUGGAAGGCUGGACUUAGAACCAAAAGGUCCAGUAUAUGCGUACCAGAAUUGUCGGUUGUGCCAUUUGCAUUU